AACGCAUAUUGCACUCUCUGGUAUUCCGGAGAGUAUGCCUGUUUCAGUAUCAGUAAACACCAUCAAACAACUCCUUGGAGGGGUUUGGAUUUGAGCGUUGCCGAGAAAACUCACCUUUUUUCGGCCCGCUCGAAAUGCAAGUACACAGGACAGGAUCCUAGACCCCUGAGGUGGGAAAACAAAGCGUAGUAGUUGACUUGACUGUCUUCUUUCGCUGAAAAAGAACACCCGGUUUUUAGGACCUUGCUGUGCAAAUUCGCAGGAAGAAAAGUAAUAUUCUUUUCACUUCUUGAUCUGAAAUCAGGUAGGACUACCCGCUGAACUUAA
rnacentral:misc_RNA from 1 species